rnacentral:rRNA from 1 species
GACGAGGGGUCCAAGCGUUGCUCGGAAUCAUUGGGCGUAAAGCGGAUGUAGGUGGUUCUAUAAGUCGGGAGUGAAAGCCCUGGGCCUAACCCAGGAAGUGCUUUCGAUACUGCAGAACUUGAGUGUGGGAGAGGAUGGUGGAAUACCUGGUGUAGUGGUGAAAUACGUAGAUAUCAGGUGGAACUCCGGUGAGGAAGCUGGCUGUCUGGCCCAACACUGACACUGAGAUCCGAAAGCGUGGGGAUCAAACAGG